rnacentral:tRNA from 1 species
GGGGACGUGGCUCUGUGGUAGAGCGGACACUCCGCAUGUGUGAGGCCCUGGGUUCAAUUCCCAGCAUCCCAA